AAGGAAAGAAAGUGAAGAAGAAAGAAAAAGACAGGGAGGAGGGGGAGAGACGACCAUAAAACAGGGUGAAGGCGGCCCCAGGAGGCUGGGCCUCGUCCCAAACCAUCCGUCUUCAUUGUCUCCGUGUGUGCAAAGGCAACUCCGGCAUAAGGAAAAGCCACUAUUGGAGCCGCGGCUUUAUUUUAUAUCCUAUACAUCAGGAGGAAGGCAAAGCUUUAUUUUCGCCAAGAGACAGAUAUUUUAUUUCUCUCUUACGGUUUUAUGUGUGAGAGAUGUCAGGUUGCCACAAUGGAUGGCUAAUGCAUAGGCAAGAGGAAGCCGUGUUGGCAUGCUGUGUGUCAUGGGGUCUUCGGGGGGUGAGCGGGCCUGGGAUUUAGGGCUGAUGGGCCACUCUGGGGGAUUUCUGCUAAAACAUCUCUCUUCAUAAAUCCAGAAGCAUGGUCAGCUCAACAGGGAGAAGAAGGAGUUUUAGAAGGAAAAGAGUUGGGCUUAGUAAUAAACGAACACACAAAGGAACCGCUUACCUUCCGAGGGGGCUCGGGCCACGAGGGCAAGGAAACGCCGAGACCCCCGUUGGAAUACACUGCUGCCACUCACGGAGAAGUGUCUUCCUCCAGAAUCCAGUGUCAGCUUGCUUCCUUGUCCCACCUGAUAUUUUUCCACUCUUAUGUCUCUCUUCACCAGAAAGCUUUUUUCACCUCCUCAGAGCCAGGAGUGGUGGGGGGUGUGUGUGUGUGGGCCUGGGGAGGGGGUGAAGAGCUAUUAAUUUGCAAAUCAUCUGAUCUGUGAAAGGAUCAAGAUGCCUGUUUUUCACCACUAAAUCCAGCGUCUUGAGUGGACACACGUGUGCACACAUGAGCCCCUCGUGCCGUGAAUCCUGGGAGUGGAGGUGCCAGAUUUAAAUCCAAGAAAAGCACGCCCCGGCUCCCACACCCUCCCUGGGGACCUGUGGCCGAAUUAAGCCUUAGAUCCCAAACUGCAUAAUGUUCAUAUUUUGAAGCCUAGAGAGAAGGGAGAGGCAAGGGGACAAAGACAGCGAGGAAGUGUGUUCACUAGUCUCCUCCACUCCCCGUCCCCCCAAACCAUUCUUGUGACAUCGGCUUUUACUGGUGCCCAUGCUCUACUCUUGAAAUUUUUUGCUUUCCUGGUUUACAUCCACAGUGGACCCAAAAGGUGAUCACGCCCUUUCCCUCUUUUCAGAGGAUGGGAGACGGCCCAGGGUCUCUAGGCAGUGAACACGAGGACCUGGCCAUGCUGUCCUUAGCUGUGGCCUUUGGGGAAGACAUUCAACCUCUUGGGACCUCAGUUUCCCCAUCGGUAACCCGCGGGAAUUGGGCUACAUGAUUGCUCAGAUUCCCUCCAGCUCCGGCCUCCUCUGACCAAAUGAGAUAAUGUGUGGAAACACUUUGUAAACGCUAAAGCCGGACGAAUGCCAGGGAUUAUUAUUACGAUUCUAAUCAAUCCUCUUUUCUCCACAUGGAUCUUGGCUGUUUAGCGCCGGCGAGCGGGCUAAAGAGGGCCGAAAUCAAGAAAGCUUAGCGGAGAUGGAAAAGCUCUGUGCCGUGGACAGAAAAAAAGCUCUGCCCCUCCAGAAGCAUUCUGUGUCCCCCUCCCCCAGUGCCGCCUCCACGCCUGGUGGGAAGGGUUGGGGAGGAGGAGAAGGGGGCAGAGGCCUCACUUGGUAGGACCCGGUUCAGUUUACACGCAGGCAAGAGAGUAUUUCUUCCAGAGCAUCGUUUGUCUCCAAGUGACUGACACAGCAACCUGAUAUGAAGGCGAUUUGCAAUUGUUGUUUUUCCAGGAAGAAAGGAAAGAGCAAGGUGUAGCUGAUUAGCAAGUUAAUUAUUUCAGUACCCCAAGGGUUCCAGCGUGGUGGUAAGUUGUCCAGCCCUGGUAUAAUUUCACAGUCCAUGCAUUUCCUGGGGUGCACCUGGGGGUGCCCAAGUCUGUCUUUCUCUCUCCAUCCCCCUGCCUUAUGUCUUUCUGACACACCUGGGGAGCUGAAGAGGGGUUGGGGUGGUAAACGGUGUGGCAUGUAUCUUUGGCCUAGGCUGCAGGUGGGGGGCCAGAGAGAAUGGGGUGGAGGAAGCAUCGACCUCUGCUGAGUAUUUAAUUAUCUGGCCCUUCCUUCUUCUUAAAAACACUCUUUUGUUGAAUAAAUAUUAAUGAGGCAGAUUAUCAAGAAGUGGAGUUUUUUUGAGGUUCUUUCCCCAGACUUAACAUGGAAAGAACCUGGCUUGGAGGGGCACUUUGGCCUCUUACCUCCUCCAGCCCUGGCCUGCUCUCCGAUGCUCAUCUUCACCUACCUGACUCUGGCCACCACUUGCUCUGCACGGGUUUCCCUCAGUCCCCUUCGGGAUCUGCCUUCCCCUUGGGGGAGCAGAGGGAGGACUAUGUGGUCAAACGGACACCUCCCUCGGAGAGGAGCCAGCUCACAGCACCAGGCUCUGGAGGCUUCAGCGUGUGAAGACGAUACAGUCCUUUUUGGUGCUGGCGUUCAAGCAGACCUCUCAGGCUCAGUUGGAGGGAAGUUACAGAAACACGGGCGGGCAGGCGUAGGGAGUUCCUUGUCUCAGUCCUGGUGGUGUCAAGCCAAAAUGAAGCCCAGGGAUGCUAAGAGGAGAUUCCAGAGAACAGGGCUCGCAGGCCCCACGUGGGAUUGUUUUUUAAAAAAAAUUUUAUUGGAGGAUAGUUGCUUUACAGUGUUGUGUUAGCUUCUCCGGUACAGCAACGUGAAUCAGCUGUAUGUACACACGCACCCCCAUUUUUGCAUUCCCUUCCCAUUUAGGUAACCCUAGAGCGCUGAGUAGGGCUCCCAGGGCCAUAGAGAAGGUUCUCGAUAGUCAUCUGUCUUAUACAUGGGCGUGUAUCCACGUGGGACCUUGACCUCUCUUCACUGCCCAGUGGCUGGCUGGCUGGUCAAGGAGCAUUUUCAGCUUGGAGGCCCCUCAGUGGUGGUUCCACCAUUUUCUUGCUCACAUUCUAGUUUGGAUCCCAUCUCCCCAGCUCCUGAGUUUUUCUGUUCUCUCAGGCCACUCAUCAUUUAGCUGAUGUUUCAGGCAAACGGCCAGCCCACGUUUUGAAAGGGGGGCUGGCAGGCCUGUAGCUAUGUGCAAGGUUGUUCUCCUUUGGGCUCAAGAGAGGACGUGGUUUCCCCUUCAAAAGAGAGAAGCAGGGAACCAUUCCUAUGAAUCUUUUAAUGAAGGAUUUACUAUCAAUUUGAUAAGUUCAAUGCUCUUUUUACUCAUUCUGAAUGAAUAACUUUUCAGUCAACCCGAGGAACUCUAAAGAUGCUUCCUUCAGUCUCCGUGUUGUAACACAUGCUGGGGCCCGAGCCUGCCUCUGACAGGCUGGGAGGAGUAGAAACAUUCCAGAGACCAGGUCUUAGAGUGUUAUCUCUUCCCCACCCUAAAUCCUCACCCACCAUUUUAUCUCUCUCCACCACAAACGCAGCGACCUCCUAGGGAAGUGUGAAGGAAUGGGUUUUAAUCAUGUUUGGGGAAUGAAGGGGAUGAAGUUGAGCCCAAAGAAAGAUGGAGACCGUUGGAAUUCUUAGGUGAUGCUUCUCUGUUACGCUUCUCACGUGCUGUAUAUUAUAUCCUACAAAUUAUGCAUUUGCGCCCGUAAUCCACAGUGUGUACGAGGCUUGGCCCA